rnacentral:rRNA from 1 species
AGCGAACGCUGGCGGCAGGCUUAACACAUGCGAGUCGAGCGCCCCGCCAGGGGAGCGGCCGACGGGAGAGUAACACGUGGGAACAUACCUUUUGGUUCGGAACAACUGAGGGAAACUUCAGCUAAUACCGGAUAAGCCCUUACGGGGAAAGAUUUAUCGCCGAAAGAUUGGCCCGCGUCUGAUUAGCUAGUUGGUGAGGUAACGGCUCACCAAGGCGACGAUCAGUAGCUGGUCUGAGAGGAUGAUCAGCCUCACUGGGACUGAGACACGGCCCAGACUCCUACGGGAGGCAGCAGUGGGGAAUAUUGGACAAUGGGGGCAACCCUGAUCCAGCCAUGCCGCGUGAGUGAUGAAGGCCUUAGGGUUGUAAAGCUCUUUUGCCCGGGAAGAUAAUGACGGUACCGGGAGAAUAAGCCCCGGCUAACUUCGUG